AUUGAACGCUGGCGGAAUGCUUUACACAUGCAAGUCGAGCGGCAGCACGGGGGCAACCCUGGUGGCGAGCGGCGAACGGGUGAGUAAUACAUCGGAACAUGCCCAGUCGUGGGGGAUAACACUUCGAAAGAAGUGCUAAUACCGCAUACGUCCUGAGGGGGAAAGCGGGGGAUCGCAAGACCUCGCGCGAUUGGAGUGGCCGAUGUCAGAUAGCUAGUUGGUGGGGUAAAGGCCUACCAAGGCAACGAUCUGUAGCUGGUCUGAGAGGAUGAUCAGCCACACUGGGACUGAGACACGGCCCAGACUCCUACGGGAGGCAGCAGUGGGGAAUUUUGGACAAUGGGGGCAACCCUGAUCCAGCCAUUCCGCGUGAGUGAAGAAGGCCUUCGGGUUGUAAAGCUCUUUCGGCAGGAACGAAACGGUGAGCUCUAACAUAGCUUGCUAAUGACGGUACCUGAAGAAGAAGCACCGGCUAACUACGUG
rnacentral:rRNA from 1 species